GAUGAACGCUGGCGGCGUGCUUAACACAUGCAAGUCGAACGGUGAACGAGGGAGCUUGCUCCCUCCGGAUCAGUGGCGAACGGGUGAGUAACACGUGAGCAAUCUGCCCCGAACUCUGGGAUAAGCGCUGGAAACGGCGUCUAAUACCGGAUACGACGCGCGAAGGCAUCUUCUGCGCGUGGAAAGAAUUUCGGUUUGGGAUGAGCUCGCGGCCUAUCAGCUAGUUGGUGAGGUAACGGCUCACCAAGGCGACGACGGGUAGCCGGCCUGAGAGGGUGACCGGCCACACUGGGACUGAGACACGGCCCAGACUCCUACGGGAGGCAGCAGUGGGGAAUAUUGCACAAUGGGCGCAAGCCUGAUGCAGCAACGCCGCGUGAGGGACGACGGCCUUCGGGUUGUAAACCUCUUUUAGUAGGGAAGAAGCGAAAGUGACGGUACCUGCAGAAAAAGCACCGGCUAACUACGUGCCAGCCGCCGCAGUAACAC
rnacentral:rRNA from 1 species